AAAGCUCAAAUUUAAAAUCUGGCAGUUUCACUGUCCGAGUUGUAAUUUAGAGAAGUGUUACCCGCGCUGGACCGUGUAUAAGUCUCCUGGAAUGGAGCGUCAUAGAGGGUGAGAAUCCCGUCUUUGACACGGACUACCAGGGCAUUGUGGUGCGCUCUCGAAGAGUCGAGUUGUUUGGGAAUGCAGCUCUAAAUGGGUGGUAAAUUCCAUCUAAAGCUAAAUAUUGGCGAGAGACCGAUAGCGAACAAGUACCGUGAGGGAAAGAUGAAAAGAACUUUGGAAAGAGAGUUAAACAGUACGUGAAAUUGCUGAAAGGGAAACGCUUGAAGUCAGUCGCGUUGGCCGGGGAUCAGCCUUGCUUUUGUGAGGUGUACUUCCUGGUCGACGGGUCAGCAUCAGUUUCGACCACUGGAAAAAGACUUGGGGAAUGUGGCACCUUCGGGUGUGUUAUAGCCUCUUGUUGUAUACAGUGGUUGGGACUGAGGAACUCAGCACGCCGCAAGGCCGGGUUUCGACCACGUUCGUGCUUAGGAUGCUGGCAAAAUGGCUUUAAGCGACCCGUCUUGAAACACGGACCAAGGAGUCUAACAUGCUUGCGAGUGUUUGGGUGGAAAACCCGAGCGCGUAAUGAAAGUGAAAGUUGGGAUCUCUGUCGUGGAGAGCACCGACGCCCGGACCUGAUGUUUACUGACGGAUCUGCGGUAGAGCACGUAUGUUGGGACCCGAAAGAUGGUGAACUAUGCCUGAAUAGGGCGAAGCCAGAGGAAACUCUGGUGGAGGCUCGUAGCGAUUCUGACGUGC
rnacentral:rRNA from 1 species